CCGCCAAGAGUCAAGUAAUUAGUGAACCUUUGAGAGAUAGUAUGUUUGUUCUUUUCUUUCCUAUCUCUCAUCUAUCUAUUUUCCUUAGUUAUUCUUAGUUAUUCACUAGAGCAAUUAUUACAUGGAAGUCAAUCAGCGGCAAGUGUUCAGAUCUAUUAUGACAUAUCUAUUAGGUGCUCAACGGACCAUUCUAAUUUUUUAAAAUCUAUUCCCAGCAUGACACAAAAUUGUUUUUUAUUUUGGUCCAACCUAAUUUAUUC
rnacentral:lncRNA from 1 species